rnacentral:rRNA from 1 species
GCUAAACAGCUAGCUUAAUUACCUAAAUACCUAAAACAACAUUACAACAUUUAAAAAACCUACAAUACUCCAAACUAAAACAUUCUACCGCCUUAGUAUGUGUGACAGAAAGGGCACCACAAAGCAAUAAUAAAAGUACCGCAAGGCGAACGCUGCAGAGAAGUGAAACAAAUAAUUAAAGCACAACAAAGCAGAGACUAGACCUCGUACCUUUUGCAUCAUGAUUUACCCAGCCCCAAGAGCAAAGCGCACUUUAGUUCAAGCGCCCGAAACUAAGUGAGCUAGCCCGAGACAGCCUAUUAAUUAGGGCCAACCCGUCUCUGUGGCAAAAGAGUGGGAAGAUCUGCGGGUAGAGGUGAAAAACCUACCGAACUUAGUAUAGCUGGUUGCCUGAGAAAAUAGGGAGUUCAGCCUCGUACUCCUCAUCUCACAAAUACCUUAUCCUUAACGAGCCCGAGAAACCUACGAGAGUUAGUCAAAGGGGGUACAGCCCCUUUGAAACAGGACACAACCUCACCAGGAGGCUUAAAAAUUAUACUAAAUAAGAUACGCCGCUCCAGUGGGCCUAAAAGCAGCCAUCUGGACAGAAAGCGUUAGAGCUCCGGCAGACUACGAUCUAUUAUUAAAAUGUUUUAUCUUAAACCCCUAAUCAUAUUAGGCGAAUCCAUGCCCGCAUGCGAUGAGAUACUGCUAAAAUGAGUAAUAAGAAGGAACCCCCCUUCUCCUAGCCUACGUGUACGCUAAGUUGGACCUACGACUAGCAAUUAGGGCAACCCAAUUAAGGAGGGCAUUGCUGGUUAUAUUGGAUAUCGAGAAAUCUCCAUACAGGUGCAUCGUUAACCCCACACCGGAAGGCAGCCAUAGGAAAGACCGAAAGAAAAGGAGGGAACUGGGCAAACAUAAGCCUCGCGGUAUACCAAAAACAUCACCUCCUGCAAAAAUCAACGUAUAGGACGUCUUACCUGCCCAGUGACAUGUUAAACGGCCGCGGAUAUUUUGACCGUGCGAAGGUAGCGCAAUCACUUGUCUCUUAAAUGGCGACCUGUAUGAAUGGUGGAACGAGGGCUUAGCGAGUCUCCCCUUUCAGGUCAAUGAAAUUGAUCUGCCCGGUGCAGAAGCGGACAUACACCUACAAGACGAGAAGACCCUUUGGAGCUUAAGAUACAAGAUCAACUACGUCAAGAACCCAGUUGAACUAAGUAGCACCUGAUCCCAAUCUUCUGUUGGGGCGACCACGGGAGAAAAUAAAGCUCCCACGCGGACUGGGGCAACGCCCUACAACCAAGAGUGACAACUCUAAGUCGCAGAAUCUCUGACCAAAAAAUCCGGCUGCCUGCCGACCAACGAACCAAGUAACCCUAGACAUAACAGCGCAAUCCCCUUUCAGACUCCAUAUCGACAAGGGGGUUUACGCCCUCGAUGUUGGAUCCGGAGAUCCUAAUGGUGCAGCCGCUAUUAAGGGUUCGUUCGUUCAACGAUUAGGGUCCUACGUGAUCUGAGUUCAGACCGGAGCAAUCCAAGUCAGUUUCUAUCUGUAAUGCCACUUCCCCCAGUACGAAAGGACCGGAAAGAGGGGGGCCCAUACUAUAAGCACGCCCGAACCCAACGUUAAUGACAUCAACUCAAUUCAACAACGGGGGGCACAAUCCCACAUCAAGAUAAGAUU